rnacentral:rRNA from 1 species
UACGGAGGAGGCUAGCGUUGUUCGGAAUUACUGGGGGUAAAGCGCGCGUAGGCGGAUCUGCAAGUCGGGGGUGAAAUCCCGAGGCUCAACCUCGGAACUGCCUUCGAUACUGCGGGUCUCGAGUCCGGGAGAGGUGAGUGGAAUUCCUAGUGUAGAGGUGAAAUUCGUAGAUAUUAGGAAGAACACCAGUGGCGAAGGCGGCUCACUGGCCCGGUACUGACGCUGAGGCGCGAAAGCGUGGGGAGCAAACAGG